GUGCCAGCAGCCGCGGUAAUACGGAGGAUGCGAGCGUUAUCCGGAUUCAUUGGGUUUAAAGGGUGCGUAGGCGGCUUCUUAAGUCAGUGGUGAAAUCCUGCGGCUCAACCGUAGAACUGCCAUUGAUACUGAUAAGCUUGAAUAUAGUUGAGGUAGGCGGAAUGAGUAGUGUAGCGGUGAAAUGCUUAGAUAUUACUCAGAACACCGAUUGCGAAGGCAGCUUACCAAGUUAUAAUUGACGCUGAGGCACGAAAGCGUGGGGAUCAAACAGGAUUAGAAACCCCCGUAGUCC
rnacentral:rRNA from 1 species